AAUGAACGCUGGCGGUAUGCCUAACACAUGCAAGUCGAACGACAGCACAGUGAGAGCUUGCUCUUACGGGUGGCGAGUGACGGACGGGUAAGGAAUACAUCGCAUUCUACUUUUUCGGGGGGGAUAACGUAGGACAACUUACGCUAAUACAGCAUAUGUCCUACGGGUGAAAGCAGGGGAUCUUCUGGCCUUUCGCGAUUGAAUGAGCCGAUUUCGGAUUAGCUAGUUUGCGUGGUAAAGGCACAACAAGGCGACGAUGCGUAGCUGACCCGAGCGGAUGAUCAGCCACACGGGAACUGAGACACGGUCCAGACUCCUACGGGAGGCAGCAGUGGGGAAUAUUGCGCAAUGGGCGAAAGCCUGAUAGAGCAAUACCGCGUGAGUGAUGAAGGACUUCGGGUCGUAAAGCCCUGUUGUUGGGAAAGAAAAAAAGCAGGUUUAUCCCUGGCUGUAAUGACGGUACCCAAAGAAUAAGCACCGGCUAACUUCGUG
rnacentral:rRNA from 1 species